GACGAACGCUGGCGGCGUGCCUAAUACAUGCAAGUGGGACGCAAGGGAACACACUGUGCUUGCACACCGUGUUUUCUUGAGUCGCGAACGGGUGAGUAACGCGUAGGUAACCUGCCUAUUAGCGGGGGAUAACUAUUGGAAACGAUAGCUAAUACCGCAUAAUAUUAAUUAUUGCAUGAUAAUUGAUUGAAAGAUGCAAGCGCAUCACUAGUAAAUGGACCUGCGUUGUAUUAGCUAGUUGGUAAGGUAAGAGCUUACCAAGGCGACGAUACAUAGCCGACCUGAGAGGGUGAUCGGCCACACUGGGACUGAGACACGGCCCAGACUCCUACGGGAGGCAGCAGUAGGGAAUCUUCGGCAAUGGACGAAAGUCUGACCGAGCAACGCCGCGUGAGUGAAGAAGGUUUUCGGAUCGUAAAGCUCUGUUGUAAGUCAAGAACGUGUGUGAGAGUGGAAAGUUCACACAGUGACGGAGCUACCAGAAAGGC
rnacentral:rRNA from 1 species